rnacentral:rRNA from 1 species
UCCUACGGGAGGCAGCAGUAAGGAAUAUUGGACAAUGGCCGCAAGGCUGAUCCAGCCAUGCCGCGUGCAGGAUGAAGGUGCUCUGCACUGUAAACUGCUUUUGUUUGGGAAUAAACCCUUCUACGUGUAGAGGGCUGAAUGUACCAAAAGAAUAAGGGACGGCUAACUUCGUGCCAGCACCCGCGGUAAUA